rnacentral:rRNA from 1 species
AACGAACGCUGGCGGCAGGCCUAACACAUGCAAGUCGAACGCCCUAGCAAUAGGGAGUGGCAGACGGGUGAGUAACGCGUGGGAACCUUCCUUAUGGUGCGGAAUAACUCGCCGAAAGGCGUGCUAAUACCGCAUAAGCCCGCAAGGGGAAAGAUUCAUCGCCAUAAGAUGGGCCCGCGUAGGAUUAGCUAGUUGGUGAGGUAACGGCCCACCAAGGCUACGAUCCUUAGCNGGUUUUGAGAGAAUGACCAGCCACACUGGGACUGAGACACGGCCCAGACUCCUACGGGAGGGCAGCAGGUGGGGAAUCUUGGACAAUGGGCGCAAGCCUGAUCCAGCCAUGCCGCGUGAGUGACGAAGGCCUUCGGUU